UACAGAGGGGGCAAGCGUUGUUCGGAAUUACUGGGCGUAAAGGGCGCGUAGGCGGCCUUCUAAGUCGAACGUGAAAUCCCCGGGCUCAACCCGGGAACUGCACUCGAAACUGGCAGGCUUGAGUACUGAAGAGGGUCGCGGAAUUCCCGGUGUAGAGGUGAAAUUCGUAGAUAUCGGGAGGAACACCAGUGGCGAAGGCGGCGACCUGGGCAGAUACUGACACUGAGGUGCGAAAGCGUGGGGAGCAAACAGG
rnacentral:rRNA from 1 species